ensembl:lncRNA
UUAGAUGGGCCUGUUAGGUGAGAGAAGACAUUUCUUUCAGUCUUCGCUUCUCAUGUAUUUCUUGUUGGACCUUCUGUUCAGUGCUUUCUUGAAGUGGGCAGGAGCACUUCUAAUUUGCGCGCCUUUGGGGACUCCUUCCACAGUCACUGGGCACCAAGUGUGAGACUUGGAGGCUUUUCUCUGGAGUCCGUAUGACCCUUGUUGAACAAUAAUCAUUGUCAAGUCUAUAAAGAACGAAGGGCUUUAUUUGGAGUUUUAAGAAUUGCAAUUCAGGAGACAUGGAUUUAGAUAAAACUAUAAGUGUGCUGGAGAAGAGAAUGACCCAGGGGCUAUAAAGGCAAAACCCACAAAUUUGUUGAAGUUGUUGGCAAGAAUUAUGAUGGACUAUGGCCAGGAAAGGAAAUACUUGUCCUUAAUAUUUGCGUUUUCACAGGUUAUUUUAGGGUAAUGCUUGUUAAGUAUCUUGAGUUUCAGAAACAUUGGAAGAUCUUCUGGAUGCCUGCCUUAAGACAGAAGGGUCAAAGGUCAAGCUAUCAGGCUGAGAUGUACUUAAGUCACACUUCCUCUGUGGCCUCCAAGCUCUAUUUUGGAGAGCUCUCUUAGCAGUACCAACACUAUUUGAUUUUUCCUUUCAUACCUAUAGGACACUUGACCAACCCCACGUGGAUUUCUCUUUCUUGACUGCAUCUGAUGAGCAGGAAAUAUUCAUGCAGCUCUUGUCCCACCACAUUUUAGGCAAGCAGGCUGAUUUCAUUUGUAAGGGUAAAUAUAUAUCUAAACAGAAAAGAGAAAGAAACCCUCUCCCUUUUUCUUUCAGAGUAUUUUAUCCAGAAAACUUGUAAAUUCUUUUUCUGUCUCUUUGAGAUGUAUGUAAAUUAUUUUUAAAGGCUGAAUAAACCAGCAUUACAAUCUAGAAAUACCUUUCUUAAGGACCUGGGGGCCAGCUCUUUGAUGCAUAAUCAAGGAAGAUAGCACCUCCCAGUGGCAGGGUAGUGCUACCUAGCAACAACUGGCAAAACUAACUUCUGUCGCAAAGAUAAUGAAAGUUUAUUUUUCCUUUGGGUAAAGCCAACUAGCUAACACUGAAGGUUACCCCAGUUAUCAGAUGAGUCUAGGAUGAGAACUUGCUGUCAAGUUCUCAUAUUUAAGGACGAGUUACUGUUUAUCUGGAGAUCAUGUAUGCAGUGGGUUGUUAUCACGUUAGUUUUCUGUCUUUGCAGUGUCUUUAAUGAAUUGCCUUAAUGGGCUUGAUACUCUGCUUUAAUGCUUAUUCAAUAAUAAAAUUGUUUUAUUUUCUACUUUUGUGGAGAGGAUUUCUGUGCGGGGAGGAUAUUUUGUUUUUAAUUGUAUUUCCCUAGCACAGUACAGCAGCCCUCACUCUCUGAUUCCACUACAAAAGCAGUUAAUCUGUCCUUCCCUUGCCUUUAAAAUCCCUAGUCCACUCUCUAUUUUGUGUUCCUCAGUUAUGCACCUAGACUUGGCAUUUUUCAUAGGAGGCAUUUUCCUUUUCCCUUCUCUAAAAAGAAGGAUGGGAACUGUGACCAGGGUAAAAACUUUCUCCAAAGCAGUUUCUUCACCAGUCAUUUCUUUUCGUGGUCCCUAACCUGUUCUUACAAGUUUCAUUGGACAUGUGAUAUGGAUCUACCAGAAUUCAGGAAAGAAUUUUUUGGAAACUUAAUUCUGUACAUGGACGUGAAGGAUUCACAGUCACUUUGGUGUUCUGACAUUUAUACUGUAGAAAACUCAUUCAAAUGUGAGGGGAGAAGUGUUGUACUCAAACAUCCUGUUCCAAUUAUAACUGCAACAGUAAAAUAUACAUGAUGCUUCAGGAAUAUAGAAAAAAAAGAACUAUUUAAUUUACCUUGACAUGGACUAUAGGCUUUAAUAGUCUGAAGUGCUCUUCAGGAAAAUUCUUUUCUCUUUUUUUUGUUGUUUGGUUUUGUUUGUUUGAUACCUGAUUUGUGCUGUGUUCUAGCAACAGCAUCGUAUGCUAAUGAACUAUCUCGUUCUCUCAUACACAUGCAUGCAUACAUAUACACACACUCAUUUCGGUUUUCAUACUCAUUAUUACUAGUGUAGUUAAAAACUGAAUUAAUUUUUAAAAUAUUUCGUCAUUGACUCCCCACAGCCCAGGCAUAUCAAUCAUAAUUCAUUUGGGUGUAAAAAUGUUUAUAAUUUACUUUAAAAUCCUUCAAUCACAGAUAGUGUGAAUUAGAUAAAUAAUGGUUUAAAUUAGAGUUAAGGAAUUCCCCAAUCUGAAAUUCACUGCCUAGAGUAGUUAGGUACCUUUUAAUCUGAAAUUUCACUCUUUAGAGACAGCUACAAGGCUCAGCUAUCUUCAACUAGGUCAACACAAGAAUUUUUUUCCUAUGCAUAACUAUAAUUGGUUAUCAUUGGUAAAAUUAAUAGUUUAUUAGCUAAUUGUUAGUCAGCCUAUUAACUCCAAGUUCCCAAUACAUCCCACUCCCUCUCCCUCCCUCUUGGCAACCACGAGUCUAUUCUUCAAGUCUAUGAUUUUCUUUUCUGUGGAAAGGUUCAUUUGUGUAAUAUAUUAUAUUAUAGAUAUAAGUGAUAUCAUAUGGUAUUUGUCUUUCUCUUUCUGGCUUUCUUCACUUAGUAUGAAAGUCUCUAGUUCCAUCCAUGUUGCUGCAAAUGGCAUUAUGUCAUUCUUUUUAUGGCUGAGUAGUAUUCCAUUGUGUAUAUAUACCACAUCUUCCUAAUCCAAUCAUCUGUGGAUGGCCAUUUGGGUUGUUUCCAUGUCCUGGCUAUUGUGAAUAGUGCUACAGUGAACAUGUGGGUGCAUGUGGAUUGGGAAGUUGGGGUUAAUAGAUGCAGAUUAUUGCCUUUGGAAUGGUUAAGCAAUGAGAACCUGCUGUGUAUCACUGGGAACUAUAGCUAGUCACUUAUGAUGGAGCAUGAUAAUGUGGGAACAAAGAAUCUAUACAUGUAUGUAUAACUGGGUCACCAUGUCGCACAGUAAAAAAUUGGCAGAACACCAGUUAUAAUGAAAAAAAAUCAUUAUUAAAAAAAAAAAAAAAAAAUCUAGCCAGCCUAAAAUUUGUUCUGUCCACUAAGGUAUUGCUCUCCAGGCUUGAUUCCAAACCAGUUCACUUGAGGCUUAGUCUCUCUUUUAUGCAGUUUGAAUACUAUAGAAUUUAGGCAAAAGAAAGGAAAGACAGGAUUUUGUGAGUUCCUAGAGGUUGUCUGACUAUUCGAUAAAUUCUUGGGGAAUUUGGUGGGAGACUUUGUUUGCUGUCUAAUUAGUUUCAGUUUAUUGGGAAAUAAUCAUCUGUUGCCUACCUUAUAUUUGGGAGAUCAAAUGAAAAGAGUCUAAUAGUUCUGCAUCACAAAACUAUUUCAAACCAAUUCAGUACAGCCAGUGGGAGAUGGGAGGAAUAGAGAUCACAGGGAGUGGAGUGUAUGGAAGGACUCACAGAGCAAAAGAUGCAGCAAAAGAGUACCAAGUUUACCAGAAGGUUUAAGGGAAAAUAUCUUCUCAGGGGAAUAUUAUGAGAUGGUCUCAAGAAAAAUUGUAUGGCUUAUUCAUUCUAUUAGAAAAAUGGCUGAAACUUUGACGUUUUAGGGUAGAAAAAUGGGCAGAAGCAAGACUAUGAGGGGAUGUCUAUAAUCUAUAGAAGUGCUUUUCAGACUUUUAAAAACGCAACUCUUAGUAAAAUAAUUUUUAGAUUACACAAGCAUAAACACAAAGAAGUAAAAAUUUCUUAAAAUAUCACAUCUUAUUAGGUAAUGCAUACUCAGAUAUUUUAUAUUCUUUUUAGCUUACUCUGCUUUAUCUUAUUUUAUUUAAAACAUUGGUUUUGAACAAGUAAAUUGACUUUCUCUCACAUCAGUGGUCAGUCUUUCCAGUGAGAAAACUCUGCACUGUAGAAAACUGACAGCUACUAAAGGAUUUUAAAUCUGUGUUUGUGCUGAGUAGAAAUAUUCUUGUUUUGAUAGUAUAGAGAAUGAAUUAGAAGUGUGAGACUGGAGGUGGAGAAGAAAGUUAGAUUAUCCCCAUAAACCAGACAAGAGAUUGUGAGUAUAGGAACUGGGCAUUAUCUUUGUGGAUUGGGGGUAGGAAAGAUUUGAAAGCUAAGUGGAUCGAAUUAGCAGGAUUUAGUCACUGAUUCUAUGUGAAAGUUUGGCGUUGAUGAGGGAGAUGGAAUGACAGAAAACAAGAUUCAGGAAUAUUUUCUAGGCCAAUGGGUUAGAUAACAAGUUUGUGUAUAGGAGGGAUUCACAAGGAUACAGGAUACAAGAAAACCACAGUUCAGUUUUAUUUAUUUUCUAAUAAGGGAAGCUUAUUAUAUUUUUUGUUCUCGGUGUUGCUUGGAAUGUUCCAUAAUUUGAUAGUUUUUUUAAUAGAACAUAUCUUAGGAAGUCUAUUGGCUGUUUAGACCUUAACAGUUGUUUGAGCCAGUGGAUCCCAAAUCUGAUGCUGCUUAAAACAGAGUCCCUCUGGGAGGAUGAUUCAAGGGCAUGUGCUAUCUAACAAGGUCCCCAGUGAAUCUUUGCAGCAGUCCUAUUACUGGAAUGUGACUAUCACUGCUCUUUAUUUUAAAUAAAAGAAAUCUGAGUCUCUAUGGUAUAUAGCGAUUUCUAAAAUUCUAACUAUUUAAAGGCUUAGCUAGAAAUAAAAUUCACCCAGUUUUAGUGCUUUUCUCCACUUCAAUGCUUUCUUCAAAACCAUCGUACUUUAUUAUUUGCUGAUGACCUUGCCUUAUACUUUUAAAUACAGACUACCUGGCAAUUUUGCCCUAAAAUAUUUCUUUACUUUCACAUUUUCAAUCUUCUUUCUCUGUCAGUAAGAUGUACCCUUCUUUAUUGCUAAGACUCCUCUCUAACAGUUUUCAUGGCUCUCAUUGUCCUUUUUUUCCUUCCCAAAUCAAUGUGCUAUUCAGUUUGUGUUCUAAGAUCAAUAUUUUUCAGAUGCUUCACCAGAUGUAAGCUUUGUAAAUACUUUAUUGGCUACUUAUAUACCCCCACUUCUUUGUUGUUCAGAAACUGCUUUUCUUUAUUG